UCCCCUCUGGCCUAAUGGCAAGGCGCCUGUCUACGAAACAGGAGAUUGCAGGUUCGAUCCCUGCGAGGGGAG
rfam:Yarrowia lipolytica strain CLIB122 chromosome D complete sequence.